rnacentral:rRNA from 1 species
CCUACGGGAGGCUGCAGUGAGGAAUAUUGGUCAAUGGACGAGAGUCUGAACCAGCCAAGUAGCGUGAAGGAUGACUGCCCUAUGGGUUGUAAACUUCUUUUAUAUGGGAAUAAAACAGGGUAUGCAUACUCACUUGUAUGUACCAUAUGAAUAAGCAUCGGCUAACUCCGUGCCAGCAGCCGCGGUAAUACGGAGGAUCCGAGCGUUAUCCGGAUUUAUUGGGUUUAAAGGGAGCGUAGGUGGGUAGUUAAGUCAAUUGUUAAAGUUUGCGGCUCAACCGUAAAAUUGCAGUUGAAACUGGCAUACUUGAGUACAGUAGAGGUGGGCGGAAUUCGUGGUGUAGCGGUGAAAUGCUUAGAUAUCACGAAGAACACCGAUGGCGAAGGCAGCUCACCGGACUGCAACUGACACUGAUGCUCGAGAGUGUGGGUAUCAAACAGGAUUAGAUACCCGUGUAGUC